ACGUGGUAACCGUUCACUCCUCUUAUUCUUCUUCUUCUUCAUCUCAUCUCUCUCUCUCUCAUGUUGCAGCCAUCUCCAGUCCAUGGCAACAACAGCAGUACUUUUCCACUUGCUCUCUCUAUCAGAUUAGCAAUCCGCUGCUCAUUGUUAGGGCUUCAAGAGUAUCGGCCAUGAUCUUCUAUUACGGAUGGUCUCUAUAUGUGUUUGGCUUCAUCUCACUUAAAUGGCGAGACUGAAAUCUCAGAUCUGUAAGAAAGAAAGGACUUGUCGUAAUGACAUCACAAAUCAGGGGUCACUGGAUCUUACACAUCAUUAGAGAAGGUUUGCGAACGAGUUUAUCAGUCCUUAGUUGAAGUGAUCAAGUUGGAAGAGUUGCAACUUGCAAACAGAUUUUGCAGGAGGUGGAGUUGCUGUUGGAGUUUCAACUUGAAGUUGUAGUCAUAAGCCAUUGAAGUUAUGAUUAAUUUAGACUAGUAUAGAUGUACUGAUGUAUUCCAAUUAGUAUAGGAGGGUAAAUUCUUGUUAGUACAAGCUAUGUAUCUAUAUUUCAAUAGUAAGAGACUACUGUAUUAUUUUUAUUUAUCAAAAUUGAGGAUUUAGUAUA